UCCGUAGGGUGAACCUGCGGAAGGAUCAUUAUUG
rnacentral:rRNA from 1 species